rnacentral:tRNA from 1 species
CGCUUUAGCUCAGUUGGUAGAGCAGCUGAUUUGUAAUCAGCCGGUCGCAGGUUCGAGUCCUGUGA